UACGUAGGGAGCGAGCGUUGUCCGGAUUCAUUGGGCGUAAAGAGCUCGUAGGCGGCUUGGUAAGUCGGAUGUGAAACCUCCAGGCUCAACCUGGAGUCGCCAUCCGAUACUGCCAUGGCUAGAGUCCGGUAGGGGCCCACGGAAUUCCUGGUGUAGCGGUGAAAUGCGCAGAUAUCAGGAAGAACACCGGUGGCGAAGGCGGUGGGCUGGGCCGGCACUGACGCUGAGGAGCGAAAGCGUGGGGAGCGAACAGG
rnacentral:rRNA from 1 species